rnacentral:rRNA from 1 species
GAUGAACGCUGGCGGCGUGCUUAACACAUGCAAGUCGAACGGUGAAGCAGGAGCUUGCUCCCUCCGGAUCAGUGGCGAACGGGUGAGUAACACGUGAACAAUCUGCCCUGGACUCUGGGAUAAGCGUUGGAAACGACGUCUAAUACCGGAUACGAGGCGUGGGGGCAUCCCCAACGCCUGGAAAGAACUUCGGUCCAGGAUGAGCUCGCGGCCUAUCAGCUAGUUGGUGAGGUAACGGCUCACCAAGGCGACGACGGGUAGCCGGCCUGAGAGGGUGACCGGCCACACUGGGACUGAGACACGGCCCAGACUCCUACGGGAGGCAGCAGUGGGGAAUAUGGCACAAUGGGCGCAAGCCUGAUGCAGCAACGCCGCGUGAGGGACGACGGCCUUCGGGUUGUAAACCUCUUUUAGCAGGGAAGAAGCGAAAGUGACGGUACCUGCAGAAAAAGCACCGGCUAACUACGUGCCAGCCGCCGCGGUAAAAC